GGUUAAGCGACUAAGCGUACACGGUGGAUGCCCUGGCAGUCAGAGGCGAUGAAGGACGUGCUAAUCUGCGAAAAGCGUCGGUAAGGUGAUAUGAACCGUUAUAACCGGCGAUGUCCGAAUGGGGAAACCCAGUGCAAUUCGUUGCACUAUCGUUAACUGAAUACAUAGGUUAACGAGGCGAACCGGGGGAACUGAAACAUCUAAGUACCCCGAGGAAAAGAAAUCAACCGAGAUUCCCCCAGUAGCGGCGAGCGAACGGGGAGCAGCCCAGAGUCUGAAUCAGCUUGUGUGUUAGUGGAACGGUCUGGAAAGUCCGACGGUACAGGGUGAUAGUCCCGUACACCAAAAUGCACAGGUUGUGAACUCGAAGAGUAGGGCGGGACACGUGGUAUCCUGUCUGAAUAUGGGGGGGACCAUCCUCCAAGGCUAAAUACUCCUGACUGACCGAUAGUGAACCAGUACCGUGAGGGAAAGGCGAAAAGAACCCCGGCGAGGGGAGUGAAAAAGAACCUGAAACCGUGUACGUACAAGCAGUGGGAGCACCUUCGGGUGUGACUGCGUACCUUUUGUAUAAUGGGUCAGCGACUUAUAUUCUGUAGCAAGGUUAACCGUAUAGGGGAGCCGCAGGGAAACCGAGUCUUAACUGGGCGUUAAGUUGCAGGGUAUAGACCCGAAACCCGGUGAUCUAGCCAUGGGCAGGUUGAAGGUUGGGUAACACUAACUGGAGGACCGAACCGACUAAUGUUGAAAAAUUAGCGGAUGACUUGUGGCUGGGGGUGAAAGGCCAAUCAAACCGGGAGAUAGCUGGUUCUCCCCGAAAGCUAUUUAGGUAGCGCCUCGUGAACUCAUCUUCGGGGGUAGAGCACUGUUUCGGCUAGGGGGUCAUCCCGACUUACCAACCCGAUGCAAACUACGAAUACCGAAGAAUGUUAUCACGGGAGACACACGGCGGGUGCUAACGUCCGUCGUGAAGAGGGAAACAACCCAGACCGCCAGCUAAGGUCCCAAAGUCAUGGUUAAGUGGGAAACGAUGUGGGAAGGCACAGACAGCCAGGAUGUUGGCUUAGAAGCAGCCAUCAUUUAAAGAAAGCGUAAUAGCUCACUGGUCGAGUCGGCCUGCGCGGAAGAUGUAACGGGGCUAAACCAUGCACCGAAGCUGCGGCAGCGACACUAUGUGUUGUUGGGUAGGGGAGCGUUCUGUAAGCCUGCGAAGGUGUGCUGUGAGGCAUGCUGGAGGUAUCAGAAGUGCGAAUGCUGACAUAAGUAACGAUAAAGCGGGUGAAAAGCCCGCUCGCCGGAAGACCAAGGGUUCCUGUCCAACGUUAAUCGGGGCAGGGUGAGUCGACCCCUAAGGCGAGGCCGAAAGGCGUAGUCGAUGGGAAACAGGUUAAUAUUCCUGUACUUGGUGUUACUGCGAAGGGGGGACGGAGAAGGCUAUGUUAGCCGGGCGACGGUUGUCCCGGUUUAAGCAUGUAGGCUGAUUGUCCAGGCAAAUCCGGAUAAUCAAGGCUGAGGUGUGAUGACGAGGCACUACGGUGCUGAAGUAACAAAUGCCCUGCUUCCAGGAAAAGCCUCUAAGCAUCAGGUAACAUUAAAUCGUACCCCAAACCGACACAGGUGGUCAGGUAGAGAAUACCAAGGCGCUUGAGAGAACUCGGGUGAAGGAACUAGGCAAAAUGGUGCCGUAACUUCGGGAGAAGGCACGCUGGUGUGUAGGUGAAGUCCCUGCGGAUGGAGCUGAGACCAGUCGAAGAUACCAGCUGGCUGCAACUGUUUAUUAAAAACACAGCACUGUGCAAACACGAAAGUGGACGUAUACGGUGUGACGCCUGCCCGGUGCCGGAAGGUUAAUUGAUGGGGUUAUCCGUAAGGAGAAGCUCUUGAUCGAAGCCCCGGUAAACGGCGGCCGUAACUAUAACGGUCCUAAGGUAGCGAAAUUCCUUGUCGGGUAAGUUCCGACCUGCACGAAUGGCGUAAUGAUGGCCAGGCUGUCUCCACCCGAGACUCAGUGAAAUUGAACUCGCUGUGAAGAUGCAGUGUACCCGCGGCAAGACGGAAAGACCCCGUGAACCUUUACUAUAGCUUGACACUGAACAUUGAGCCUUGAUGUGUAGGAUAGGUGGGAGGCUUUGAAGCGUGGACGCCAGUCUGCGUGGAGCCAACCUUGAAAUACCACCCUUUAAUGUUUGAUGUUCUAACGUUGGCCCCUGACCGGGGUUGCGGACAGUGUCUGGUGGGUAGUUUGACUGGGGCGGUCUCCUCCCAAAGCGUAACGGAGGAGCACGAAGGUUAGCUAAUCCUGGUCGGACAUCAGGAGGUUAGUGCAAUGGCAUAAGCUAGCUUGACUGCGAGCGUGACGGCGCGAGCAGGUGCGAAAGCAGGUCAUAGUGAUCCGGUGGUUCUGAAUGGAAGGGCCAUCGCUCAACGGAUAAAAGGUACUCCGGGGAUAACAGGCUGAUACCGCCCAAGAGUUCAUAUCGACGGCGGUGUUUGGCACCUCGAUGUCGGCUCAUCACAUCCUGGGGCUGAAGUAGGUCCCAAGGGUAUGGCUGUUCGCCAUUUAAAGUGGUACGCGAGCUGGGUUUAGAACGUCGUGAGACAGUUCGGUCCCUAUCUGCCGUGGGCGCUGGAGAAUUGAGGGGGGCUGCUCCUAGUACGAGAGGACCGGAGUGGACGCAUCACUGGUGUUCGGGUUGUCAUGCCAAUGGCACUGCCCGGUAGCUAAAUGCGGAAGAGAUAAGUGCUGAAAGCAUCUAAGCACGAAACUUGCCCCGAGAUGAGUUCUCCCUGAGACUUUAAGUCUCCUGAAGGAACGUUGAAGACGACGACGUUGAUAGGCCGGGUGUGUAAGCGCAGCGAUGCGUUGAGCUAACCGGUACUAAUGAACCGUGAGGCUUAACCUU
rnacentral:rRNA from 1 species